rnacentral:lncRNA from 1 species
GUGGGGUAUUUUUCUGGAAAAGGUGGGGGUUGCUUUGCUACCUGUUGAAGAUAUAGAGUACUGUCGUCAACUAAUCGUAAUUCUUGUUAGGACAAUCGACUUUUUUCUAUAUAUUAAUUAAGUUUAUUCUUAUAAACAUAAUCUUAUUGUUUUAGUAAAUCUGGUCUGGCACGUGCAUAAUGAGAGUUAAAUCAAGAACACGUGCGCA